rnacentral:tRNA from 1 species
UAACUUUUAGUGAAUGACACACUAAAUUUUGAAUUUAGGGAAAGAUAUUCGAUUAUCUAAAGUUAA